AGAUUGAAUUGUUGGGCUUGGAAAUAAAUCAUGUUGGAAGGGAAUUAAUUUUAGAAGUUGAGCUUGAAGCUUAAUUAAUUAAUUCCCGAAUAAUUUACUAAGUUUUCAAAGAUGAAAAAUAGUGAAGUUGGAGAAGCGAGGGCCGACCGGCGUCGCCCCGCGAAGCCAUGGGCGACCUUAAGAAAAUUCAAGAGAAGAAAUUUGAAGGGAUUUUCCAAGAAUUUGUAUCUUAUUAAAUGAGUGCCCAAGUAAUUACUUUCAAGGAAAUAGAAUUUCUCCGGAUUUAAUUAAAGUAGAUAAUUCUGCAGAGUAGUGAAGCCGAGGUAGGAUUAAGAAAAUCCUAUAAGUCGAGACUAAGAUAUAGGUGCUACCCAAUAGGAUGCAUGCAUUCUUUUCUCAAGAGAAAUAGUUCAAGUACUAAUUAGCGUGUUACGCUGUUUUUGUUAAAAAAAAAGGCUAUUUUUGGCUGGGAGGCCGACUGGAGAAUUUUAAGUGAGAAGUAAACGUAUCAGAUUAAGCAAUAGGGUGGAGGCGUGCUGAUCAGAGUUGAUGCUACUUAAGUAAAUAAGUGUGGAUCUCUCGACGCUUCGUGUCUUCAUACAUGAGGUUGUUCUUUGGACUCUUUCCGCUGCAGUUUGUUAUGAGAGUAUAGUGAACUCUCAUCAUCGAAACUCUGAUUCUUUUUGACGAAAUGCUAUUGUUAUUCAAAUCCUUGUAAUCGAAUACUUUGGAUCUUAUCUUAUCAUAUUUUUUGACUUUUCAA